CAAAAAAAAACAUUCAUUUUCGUAAGGGGAAUAUGAGUGUUUGUUUUUUUGUAGUUUUUCAGUCAAUUGCAUACCGCUUUUAGCUGUACAAAACUUAAACAGUUUUCGUAAAUGCAUUUCAGAGAAAAGUGAAUUCUGAGAUUUGAAUAAUGCAUCUGACGUGUGUGUGAUGACGUCACGACGCACGUAUUUUGAUUUUUACCAGUCGUUCAAGGCGGACGGAUUCAGUCCCAAGAAGCUAAAGUUUUUCAAAGACAUUUGUAGGGAGGACUUUGCAGCUAAUGGAGCUGAAGUAUUUUAUGUAAGGAGGAUUUUGCAGCCCAUAUAGAUUUCCUUAGGCUGAACCAAAACCUGCCAGACUAAAGUUGAUUUGGGAGAGAAAGACGUUGUAAACUCAAUCAUCUUGACAUUCUUCAAUGAGUA